rnacentral:rRNA from 1 species
CUGGCUCAGGAUGAACGCUAGCGACAGGCUUAACACAUGACAAGUCGAGGGGCAGCAUAGAAGUAGCAAUACGUUGGUGGCGACCGGCGCACGGGUGAGUAACGCGUAUGCAACCUACCUAUCAGAGGGGAAUAACCCGGCGAAAGUCGGACUAAUACCGCAUAAAACAGGGGCACCGCAUGGUGAUAUUUGUUAAAGAAAUUCGCUGAUAGAUGGGCAUGCGUUCCAUUAGGUAGUUGGUGAGGUAACGGCUCACCAAGCCGACGAUGGAUAGGGGAACUGAGAGGUUGGUCCCCCACACUGGUACUGAGACACGGACCAGACUCCUACGGGAGGCAGCAGUGAGGAAUAUUGGUCAAUGGGCGGGAGCCUGAACCAGCCAAGUCGCGGUUAGAAGGAAGAAGGAUCUAUGGUUCGUAAACUUCUUUUGCAGGGGAAUAAAGUGCAGGACGUGUCCUGUUUUGUAUGUACCCUGAGAAUAAGGAUCGGCUAACUCCGUGCCAGCCGCGGC